rnacentral:lncRNA from 1 species
GAAGAUGGCGGCGACGACACAUGUGAGUGCGUCGGACCGGUUUGUGUCCCGGACCCGGUAUGUGGCUCGGUCAGGGUCUCCGACUUUAGAUGUUAGGCUUAGGUGAGAGGUCUGGGUAUUUGGUCCAGCUUGCACCCCUUCAUCAUAUGGAUAGGAGUAGCAACAGAUGUUGCCAAAAUGACGGAUUCAGGCAUAUUGUUGUACUGCUUUGUAAGGUCCUCGAGAAUAAUCAAUAAAAUGGCCGCAUGCAUCUCCCAGAUGCAGAGGCCGGGGG